rnacentral:rRNA from 1 species
GACGAACGCUGGCGGCGUGCUAAUACAUGCAAGUAGAACGCUGAAGGAGGAGCUUGCUUCUCUGGAUGAGUUGCGAACGGGUGAGUAACGCGUAGGUAACCUGCCUGGUAGCGGGGGAUAACUAUUGGAAACGAUAGCUAAUACCGCAUAAGAGUAGAUGUUGCAUGACAUUUGCUUAAAAGGUGCAAUUGCAUCACUACCAGAUGGACCUGCGUUGUAUUAGCUAGUUGGUGGGGUAACGGCUCACCAAGGCGACGAUACAUAGCCGACCUGAGAGGGUGAUCGGCCACACUGGGACUGAGACACGGCCCAGACUCCUACGGGAGGCAGCAGUAGGGAAUCUUCGGCAAUGGACGGAAGUCUGACCGAGCAACGCCGCGUGAGUGAAGAAGGUUUUCGGAUCGUAAAGCUCUGUUGUAAGAGAAGAACGAGUGUGAGAGUGGAAAGUUCACACUGUGACGGUAUCUUACCAGAAGGGGACGGCUAACUACGUGCCAGCAGCCGCGGUAAUACGUAGGUGGCAAGCGUUAUCCGGAUUUAUUGGGCGUAAAGAGAGUGCAGGCGGUUUUCUAAGUCUGAUGUGAAAGCCUUCGGCUUAACCGGAGAAGUGCAUCGGAAACUGGAUAACUUGAGUGCAGAAGAGGGUAGUGGAACUCCAUGUGUAGCGGUGGAAUGCGUAGAUAUAUGGAAGAACACCAGUGGCGAAGGCGGCUACCUGGUCUGCAACUGACGCUGAGACUCGAAAGCAUGGGUAGCGAACAGG